ensembl:snRNA U6 U6 spliceosomal RNA
GUGCUCACUUUGGCAACACGUAUACUAAAAUCGGAACCGAGAAGAUUAGCAUGGCCCCUGCACAAAGAUGACACACAAAUUCAUGAAGUGCUCCAUAUUAAA